UGUGUCACUCGCACCACAAAGGAGCUUGGGGGUGGGGAGGGGGUUGUAAUGCUGAUCCCUCACACACUCCUGACGCUCUUGCCAUGGUUCGGGCUCUGCUCCAAGCUCUCAGCCGCCUCACGAUCACCCCGGAAGUCUGUCUUAUGAAGAUGUCCCUCUUCCCAACAAGGACCAGGCUUGGAUGGACGCAUGAUGGUGGGAGCUAGAGAAGCUACUCUGUACCCACAACUGAAAGGAAAGCAGAGCUGACCGACUCGUUCCGGACCAUCUCCCGCUAGACAACUGAAUUAGAAACAAGCUUCUGUUUUGACUAAA